AAUGAUCCUUCAGGCAGUUAAAGGGACAUGAUGAGCGGUAUAAUCUCGCAAUUGCUAUGCGAGAGGGGUGUCUGCCCCAACUAAGCCUGUUACGACAACAGGGCACCCCAAUGACUUACCGUCUGAUCCCGAUU
rnacentral:snoRNA from 1 species